UGGCUCUUUCUGAAGAAGGAGACUUUGAAGCUGCCAGGAGACUGGGACCUGACUUCCAUCAAAAUCGUCUUAAGGAAGUGGUAGAGGCAGUGAAUAACAUUGCCCUGGUGGACAGUGUGUUUAUCCAUCACUCCCCUUCUGAACCUGAUUCCUGCAGUGCUACACUUCCUACUGGGACUUCUGCUAGACCCAAAGAGGACUCCAGUUUUAACCUCCCAAACACCAAGCUAACUCUGCCAAUGUGUGAAUUGGCCCUAUCGUCUAUAUGGACAUCCCUGGAAAGUAUUUUGCCAAGCUUCUAGGUUUUGUCUAUCACUUGGCUACAGCAGCAUCACCAACUUUGAGGCUUCCAUGAUUCCUGAGCCUUCUCAGGAUGCUACCUUGAGACAAGAUUCCUUCUACCUCCUGUACUCCAGAGCCUUCUGUAGGAAAGUCUUAUGCAGGAGGAAGUAUGAACUCAGACCAAGCAGGAUGAACCCUUGUGUGCCUGUCCUCCACAAGUCCUCAGUGUCACCUCUACUACCACAGAGGGCUACAAGAGGGAGCGUACCUGGGGCCCUAAAAGCAAGGGGAGCCAAUUUUAAAAAAUUAAGAAUACUGUUGCUUCAAAAAGAUCAACAUCCUUCUCAAUAGCCUCAAGUGGUAGGACUUAAUAAAUAAAGAAUAUUUUAGAAUUUUACA
rnacentral:lncRNA from 1 species